rnacentral:rRNA from 1 species
UACGUAGGGACCAAGCGUUGUUCGGAUUUACUGGGCGUAAAGGGCGCGUAGGCGGUCGUGACAAGUCACUUGUGAAAUCUCCGGGCUUAACUCGGAACGGUCAAGUGAUACUGUCGGACUAGAGUACAGAAGGGGCAACUGGAAUUCUCGGUGUAGCGGUGAAAUGCGUAGAUAUCGAGAGGAACACCGGUGGCGAAGGCGGCAUCCCUGGACCGAGAUUGACG